rnacentral:tRNA from 1 species
GGGUCCGUAGCUCAGUUGGGAGAGCGCGUGAAUCGCACUCACGAGGUCAGGGGUUCGAAUCCCCUCGGAUCCACCA